UCACCAUGUGCAACAUGUCACUGCACUAGUAGAAUCUUGUCGAUUUUCUCCCUGUGAAUUUUCAUCGGUUAUACGAAAUCGUAGUCCGUAGAAUGGGCAUUGCAAUCAAUUCCGGUUGAACGUUUCAUGGAUCAUUGUUCCAUUUCGCAACGAGUACGUUUGUCCAUGCGGUUACAUGCAUUGUUGUUACAUUUCUGCCAAUAGAAGAAGCCUGUUUUCAUGAAGUAGAUAUCGAAUACGCACAAAACAAUAUGGUGACAAUGUGGUGAAAUAAAUACUGGCAAAACGCGCAAUUAAAAUGUAUAAUGAAACGUUAAAUUGCGUGAGAAUUGCAGUUCUAGUAAAUGAGCUACAUCGUUUCAUCGAUCGUUUACAAUUCUUUGUAGAAAGCAGAAGAAUCAUAAAAGGAGUGGCCAGAAUUUUCUUGGUUGAUAAAAUAGGAAAAUAUUACAAAUUCUUUCAAUCGCGAGAGAGACGAGAGAAACGGCUGAGAAACGCGAAGAAAUGAAAAGAAUAAUCGUGCGAAAGAACGUCAGAGAAAUAAUACGUGAUUAAAAUGGCGGAGAGAAUAUUACGCGGUUGGAUAACGUAUGAUGACAAGAUGGUGCAAAGGAUAAAAUUGUCAAAAAAAGAAAAAGAAACGAAGAAUAAAAGAUUCAUUUCAAAGAAAAGAGAAGAAGAUAAUCCAAACACGUUGGAACAUACACGCGCCAGUCAAGAAUAUGAAGAAUAUAAAUAAGAGAUAUAAAUAAUCAAGUAUCAGCGAGUCGCGUAUAACUUUAUUUCAUUCCUUUCUUCUUUAUCUCGUAUUGACUCUCGUAUUGUGAAUUGGAUAUAGAAUUAGGUCAGUUAUACAAAGGACGAGCGCAAAUAUAUUUUUUACCCAUCGGUUUCCAAUAUUAUACGAAUCAAUUUAAAGCUAAAAUAAUCGUCCCUUCAUCAUCCAUAUGAUUACCAUGCUCAUCUCAUCCUUAUCAACAUACCUCGCUCGCUUCUUUUUUCCUGUCGGAUAGUCGUUCGUACAGGAAUUGCUUGUUAUUCCAACAACAAAAGUGAUUCGACCGGAUUAUUACAAGAAAGUGUAGCAAAUGCUUAUAAUUCGAUGAAAUGCAUCGAAUAACUCGGGAUUACAUUGUGGUUGGACAGAGAUCAUCGAGGAGAGGACGAAGCCACGUAGUGGACGAGAGAAGGAACGAGGUCGCGACGCGUUGGCGAGAAGAAAACAGCUGGAUCGCCAUUCGUUUUCGCGGUUAUUGUAGCAGACCCGGUUCGCAAUAUACAUACACUUUGUUAUCGAUGUGUGUAUACGUGUAAGCGUGUACCUACGAAUUCCUUCCGGAGCCAUGCUCGUUCCACUAAAUACGCGAGAUCCAAUUUGGACGAGUCCCAAAAUUCGAAGAAAUAGUAGCACGCGUAUAUGACCGUAUAUAUAUAUAACGUGUACAUGUGCAUACAGAGUGGUGUCUCUAUUCAAUAUCGAGUUAACCUUAAAAAUAAGAUUUUAAAAAAAAUAUCUCGUAUUAAAGGAUUUUAAAUUUGAAGAUUAUUGAAUUAAAUGAAUUUUAUAAUCUUUAAAUAAAUAAUAAUUUAUGUAUAAUAUGAGAUAAGUAAGAAGAUUACUCUGGUAGAUAUGCACAAGCACGUGGAAUUUUAUGUACAUUCGAGGCAUUCAAUUUGAACCAAAAACUUUCCAGCAAAUGUUAUUGGUACCUUCGACUUCAUCCUCUAUUACUUCUAUAGUUCUACUUUGUAAUUGCCUUUGAUGAGAUUUGCCUCCCGUGAAAUCUCUUUUUCGAGACAAAGCAUUCGUUCUCGAACUCAUUAGAUCCAAUACAAAGACGAGAUUAUUGUAUCUAACAAGUGUAAAUGUUUCUGUUAAUCGUCCUCUAACUGGAAAUUCACUAUUCAACCUGGUAUUUCAAUUAUUUUACCGAUAAGACGAUCCCGUAAGAGUAGAAUGUAUCUCUUUUCAACUCGAUCCAGGUCUCGACUAAAACCAGAUACAUAGGCAAGCAACAAGAGUCAACUCGUGAAACUACACAAGACGUUAAACUCGAGGAAGAUGAAAGUACGAAGUCUGCUUGUGACGCGAGUUAACUUCGAACGCUCGAAACGACGAGAUUUCAACUCGGUCGGUUGAUGACAGCUUUGUUACCGACUGUACCAUACCGGUUCCAUCGUACACGUGCAAAAACAUUCGGUACUUGCCUCCUUGCGAAGAAUGAUACGAAACAGUUACAAGAUGAAGGAAAUAAAAGAUUCGAGGAAAAACUGGGAAAGAAAUAAUCUAACCAAAUAUUCCAAUAUAACGUGAGAACAAACAUAAGUGGAAUAACUUGGAAGUUAAGAUAAACAGAAUUUAUAAUGGAAAUUUCUUUUCAUAAUCGGUUCAAGUUUUACGAAACUCCCUACGUAUUUUAAUUCUUGAUCCUGGAACGGGUUAUGGUUAACCCGGUUGCUGUUGAAUUAACCAGAAAAUAAGACGAAACAUCGAAAUUUCGCAAGUUUUUAAAUUAUAAUUCUUAUUGAGUAGUGUGUAGCAAUUAACGUUUCUAUUCUUCUAAUAUUUCUUUUUCAAUUAAAUUAUCUUUAAUAUUCUUUAAUUAUUUUUUUUAAAAUAGAAGAAAAAAAUAGAAACAACUAAAAUUAACUUUUUAUUUAUCUUUUAAAUAUUGUAUAUAAUAAUGAAUUGUACAAAUUAAAAUGAAUUUGAAGUCGAAAUACAAACUUAAAUGGAUUAUUAAAUAAAAAUAAGUUAAUACUUAUUCUCAAAAAGCAUUCUGGUUUCUAUGCUUCGAAUAUUUCUAAAAAACAAGAUUAGAGGAGAAGUGAUGAACAAUGGAAACAAUGAACAAACAAUUAUUUCCAAAAUGAAUUGAGAAAGAGUUAAAAUUCUCAGUUCAGCAGACCACUGGAAAUUAGCUAACUUUUCCCACGGUUUCUCUUCAGGAUAAACUAAUUUCGAGCACCAGAAACGAAUCGCUGUUCAUCAUAAUGCGAACUCUGCGACAUUCACCAGUCGAAACACGAAUCCGGACGGUCUGUCCAGCUGUUUAACGGUGCAUACAAGCAUACCAGCAUACCAAGCUAUUUGCCCGUGAAACAUUAUUUUCCACCAAUGAUGAACACAGAAAUUGGAACUGGAAGAGAAUCCUCAGAAACAUCUACAAUGGUUUAGAUAGUCGCCAGAAACGAUUUUGGAGAAAGUGACCACUAGUGACCACUAGACUAGCCACAAAGUCCACAUGCUGUCGACAAGAAGUAGUCGGACUCAAGGGACAAUUGGUGGCGUAAGCCAACUUCCAAAACUUCAAUACUCGUAAAAACGGAAAACGUAGAAACAAAAUUCAACUUUUGGGAAAAAUACAGAUUAUUUCGAGAAUGAUGCGAGCAACAUUUAGAUUAAAAUGUGGAUUUUAAAUGGAUACACAUGAAAUAUAGGAAAUUUUAGUAAAAGAAUUAAUAAUAAUUCACAUGGUACAUAUUGAUUUUAUAAAUCAGAAGUAUAGAUUGAUUUUAUAGAUUACACUAAAAUGUGGUUAAAAAUUGAUUCAAGUGGAAACAUUGAAGGAUAUCGUCAAAGGAAUACAAUACAAAUGAUCAAAAUUUAAAUGUUUAAAAAUUAAGCUUUAAUUUCAUUCAAUAUUACAUAUUGAAAACAAAUGAAAUAUUAUACCUGGCUUUAGCAUUAUUUACAAUAUUUUUUACAUUAUUCAUUUAAUUAAUUCAUUUAUUGAAAAGUACAUUAAAAAUAUCUUAACCUUGAUUCGAUACAUGUUAAAAACAAACAAAAACUCUAUACAUUGUAAUACAUCACAGAAAUCACAGGUUAUUUUUCUAUUAAAUAAUAAUUGUUUAUUUGUAAUUUGAUUCGUAACUUUUCCGAUUAAAUCUUUUAAAAUAUUGCUUAAUAUAAUAACACAAAUGCAAAGAAUACGUUAUACAAAAAAAAGAAUGUAGUGAUUCACCAAGUUUAAGCAGCCUUCUUGAAUGAAUAAUAAAUGAGCGAGGGAAAAAUGUUAAUGACCCAAACUCGAUUCUCCUGUUAAACUCAAGAGAAUCCAUUAGUAAUUGUAACAAUUCUAAAUUCUAAAGAAAGAAAGAAGAUGUUACUGAAUAAAAUAAAACACAAAGAAACAAAGAAGAGGAAUCCGAUAAAUCACUAAUUCUUUGAUGUUUAAAAAAUUCAAUGAAGUAGUAUCUCAAGGUUAUCCGGCCUUUAAUCUAUCAGAUAAGAGAAAAAUCCGAGAUGAUCGGUAUCCAGAUAAACGAGUACCCACGUUGGAGAAUUACUAAAGUCAUUUUCUCAAUUUAAUAACGCCAUAAGUUCAGGGUAAAAGUGUGUAUAACGAUCUGUGUAAUAUCAUUGAAAUUGUUAAGAGACACUUCGGCCUUCCGUUUAAAACCGUUCAUCCUCGUCCAAGAUUAAAGCACCACCCUCCACCCUCUAUAAAUUCUUAAAUGAAAACGCUGGCUCCCGUUAUCGUGCAAUAAGCGCGACAUUAUUUUUUUUCUUUUUUUUUAACUUGGUUAAUUGAAACAUUGAAAUGAUACAAAUUGUAAAAAAGUCACUAUUUUUUAAUUAUCUCUCCUUACGUUAAAUAAAAUUUGUUUGUUUAUUAACGUUAAGUCUGAAAUCAAGUAUUUGUGAAUAAAAUAACAAUCAUAAAUUAAAA